rnacentral:lncRNA from 1 species
GCCGGAAGUGCGCCGCGCCGCUCUCCCCAGCCCGCGCCUCGCCGCCUUCCCCGGCCACUUCCGGGACGCUCUAGGCAGGCGGAGGACUCGUCCUCUCUGUGGCCCUCCCAGGGGUCUGAGAGGGACUGGAAGCACCCAGCGCCGGGGUGCUGCAGGCCGGCAGGUGCUGCCGGCCCCGCGCUGUGCGAGGCUUGUUGGGGCCGCUGUUGCUGGGCCAGUGCCUGCGGCAGUGUGGCUUCCCCACAGGGACAUCCCGCUCAACCUCCCACUCAGCUAAAGCCCCAUCCGCGGCUCCUGUAGGUGAUCUUGAUGCUGAGGUUUGAAACAGGUGAGCUGGAGAGGCUUCUCUGAGGUCUGCACUGGUGUUGGUGGACACCUGAGGAACUCGAGUCGUUUUGCUGGUGAACUGUGGAGUGCACUGUGGUGGGCUAACGGUGGCCCCCCAGGGUGCCCCUCCUAGUUUUGAGAACCUGUGUAUUCCUGGGCUGGCAGGCCAGAGGAGGCUUGGCAGAUGCGGUUAAGUUAAGGUCCUGAGAUGGGAGGUUAUUGGGGUUGUGUGGGUGGGCCCCGUGUCAUGACAAGGGUCCUGUCAGAGGGAGCAGGAAGGUCGCGUGGGAGAAGACAGUGUGCCCAUGAAGGACCCGCCAGCCGCGUGCUUUACUGGCAGAGGGACUGUCGGAUCAGGCGGGGCGAGCAGCGACCAAGGGAGGCAGAUUUAAAAGGGCCGCUGAACAGGCUUUAUUGAGAUAUCACUCCCGGGCGGAACUCGAUCAGACCCACAGAGGGGACAGGAGAAGGGUCUGAGGAGAAACCGCGUGGAAGCUCGACCGGACUGGACUUUUAUGGGGCUUACAGCAGGAAGGGAAGGGCUUGGGACAGGAAAAGGUGUUUUUAGGGUCCUUUGUGCCCUUGGAGUUGGUCAGGGGAGUUGGCUGAACUCCAGGAUUGGCCAGGGGGUCCUGCUGAUUGACAGGCGUUUCCGCCAGCACCUGAUUGAUAUUCCUUUCCUGGGCUGGCGGCUUUGUUCUGAGUCGCCACUAAGUCGCCACCAAGUCACCACCACUGAGCUAACAGGAACUGCCACCAGGUCCCGAGUGGGGGAGGCUUCGAGAACCUGGGAAAGCCAGGAAGCAGAUUCUCUUGGAGCGUGCACCUGUGACACCUGGAUUUUUGCAUCAUAAGACUCAUUUCAGACUCUGACCUGCUUCGGCUGCUACACUGGAGCCACCCUGCAACUUACACAGCAGCCCUUGAAACAGUGACCACCCUGUGGUCAGGAGUGGCAUGCUGGAGUUGAGUGUUUGCCAGAGGACGAAACAUGAGAUAAUGGGUCUCACUAUGGCACCUUGUCACAGCCCCCACAAAAACUCAUACAGAGCUUGCUAUCUCACUCCUUGAUUCACAGCCCUCCCUUGGGCCAGCCCUGCCACCACCUGGUUCUCUCCUUGCCCUCCCUCCCUGGUCCCCACCUGCCUCACUUCCUGGCUCUCUACCCACUCACACUCCCAGGUGGUUUCCCCGUAUCGGGGCCUCAGUACCAGGGAAGGCUGGCUGCUCCCAAGUCAAGUCUCUUGCCAGGCCCUCCCCUGAAAUCCAAACUCCUUUUCCUACAGAACACUUCUGCACAGCUUCCUAAGAGGCUCGUGUCAACCGGCAUUUCUAGAACAGACCCUGCUGCCUGUCUUGCUCCAGCCCAGGGCUCCCUGUCCUGACAAAUGGCGGCUCUACUCUCUCUCUUGAGCCACUCCACACCACACCCCACAGACCAGGAGCUCUGAUUGGCUCUGCCCCUGGUCCUGCCUCAGGCCAGCAGUGGUCACACCCACCCCACCCCGCUCAUUUCUUUGUCCUUUGUCCCAUUGUCAGCUUUUGGCUGCUGCAGAGUGAACCACCCCGAAACUCUGUGGGAAACUCAGUGGCAUGACAGGUGCUGUUUGCUAGCAUUUAAGUGUGCCUGACAGGAAGAGAGAGUGUGGGAGCAUAACAGGGGACCCCAAGACCCCCAGGCUCCCUGAUGGGGCUUCCAGGACAGCCAGGUGCCCAGGCUGGCUGGCUUACCAGUGGUUCUCUGCUGCCGCCUACUGGACCCAGAAUUGAAAGCACCUCCCAGACCAGCCGUGCUGGAAGGGUGGGACUGGGCAUGGAACAGGGGCCUGGGAUGUCACUCCAGGACCCUUGGACCUCAUCAGAUGGACUGAGUUCACUCUGGCAGUGGGGAGGGGGUUCAGAAAUAGAGGAAGAGAAGAAGGGCAUUGAUGUUCCCUGGGGCCUGGCACUGAGCACUCUCAUUCCCCAGCCUCCCCAGCUUACAGGAUAAAGCCCUCAAACCACAGCCACAGCCUCCUUGCUGACCACCUCCCAUCGCCCUCACAGCCAGAGUGACCUUGGAGAGGUCAGUCUGGGAAGGUCACUCCUCCCUCUCUGAAAAGAGCCCGGGUCCUCAAGGCCAAGUGUUCUGGACCCACAGCCCUUUACCAAGCCCUGGGUCCAUCCUGUGGGCUGUGCCCUCUGCUGUAGCCCCCUUUGCCUGGAGGUGUGCCUGGACCUGGCAGUGCCCCUCACUCCAGCUCUGGGGGCCUCAGGUGGGAAAGUCAACGGCCAGUCCUCCCUUCAGGAGGGUCUCGGGGAUACCUGUCUCCCACAGUGAAGAGGGGACUGCAGCUCCCCGUCUGAGGCCUGUGGCAGAGAAGGAAACUGUCCUGGGUGGGCCUGGGGUCUCCACUCACUGACUUCCCUCCAGGAGGGGGGUAUAAGAAAAGGUAAGGAAAGGGGUACAGAGAGGAGAGACGGCUCUGCUCCUGGGGCUUGGUGGGUGCGUUGCACAGGAGGGAAGGUGGUUUGGGGCCAGGCCCUCUGGGGAAGUAGAGGUGGGAGGGGACUCAGAAAUAGAGGAAGAGAAGAAGGGCAUUGAUGUCAGGGGCAGGAGGGGCUCUAGGCUGCCCAGGCGGCUCCCCAGAGGGUGAGCGCCCCAACACUCCUAUCUGCAUACAGGCUCACACUCCCAUGUGGCACACAUUUACAUACUCAUGCUCACAGACAGUCUACAGACAGCACAGAUUCAGAUCACUCAGAGCUUGCAAGACAUGGCCUUUGUUUCCAAGAGGAGGCUCAGCUCUGCUGUGUACAGGCCAUGCUCCUGGCUGCAGGCAGUCUUCCCAGGAAGAGACCCUCGGUGGUGUAAAUGGAAGUCAGUUCUUUGUGUGAUUAACACGCUUAUUUUUAAAAGCUAGCUGUGCAUGAAAUAAAAAAAAUAUAAAUACGAUGUGUGUUCCAGCAGGGGCCUGAGUGGCAGGCUCCACCGGAAAUGGUGGUCUGUGGGCAAGAUCUCCCUGUGAGGGGUCCACACCCAGGGAGCAGCAGCUCCUGUGGUAUGUGGACAGGCAGGAUCUGCAGGGAGCCCAGCAGGUUUGAGACUGCGGUGGCUGGGCGGGUCAGGUAGGGCCACAAGAGCAGAAGAAUCUGGAGUCCCAGGAACUGGCUAGAGAACAAGGGACAGAGGUAAAGAUUGAGUCACGUGAGGCCCCCUGUGGACCCCAUCCACUCACGGAGGGACCACAGGGGGUCAUCCUUUCUGCAAAAACCUUCCAGGAAGCAGGACCACCAGAGGAUCAGGCCCAGUGUGGCUCAGGGGCUGCAUGUGAUAUGUGCCCAAAGAGUGAAGGACAGAGGGCAGACAUCAGUGGGUGGAUGUGCUCCUGGCUUAUUUGGGGACCAGGGUCAGAGUUCAGAGUGAGGUCUCAGUGCUGGGCUGAGGUCAGGGUGGGGCUGUAAGGAAGCUGUGAUCACGGUCUCUCAGUUUGGGCUGUGGCUACUAGGCCACCCUUAGACCAGGGCUCUCACCCUUAGCACUACUGGGCAGGGAUUGGGGAGGGGAGUGGCUGUCCUGUGCACAGCCGGAUGUUGAGCAGAUCCUGGGACCACUCAACCCAAUGCCAGCAACACCCUGGGUUGGGACAACCCAAGCCGCCUGCAGGCAAUGCUAAACACGGGCCGAGCACCCGCUUCAUAUCACAUCCAGUGGACAAACAUUUACACACCUGUAAAUGUUUGGGGAAUGAGUGUUCCAGGCCAGUGCUGGUGCCGGGUGCCACCAAUGCGGAGACAGAUAAGGAAGGCUCUGUCCAGGGCAGCCAGAGUUCUCGUGGGCUGGGGUUGGUGGGAAGACCAGGCAGGUGGGCAGCCACAUGAGGAAACAGCCUCAGAGAGCCGAUUCCUUGCAUGUGGCGCCUGCACUGUACUAACAGGCCUGUGGGCUGGAGGGGGUGUUCGAAGAGAAAGCUCCAGAUGAGAGCAGAGGGCACGAAGGGGUCCUGGGGAUGCCACACGCAGCCUGUGUGACCUUGAGCCCAGUCCUGUCCCCCUCACCGCUGAGCCCCAGGUUUCUCACUGCCAGAAAAGAGACAACCCAGGGGUGCUGGAGAACUGGGCAGGGAAGCCCAGAGGGCCUGGGCCUGCCUGACCCGGGGGCAGCUCAUGGGCUUCUGCCACAGAGUGCUGGAGGAUCUAGGCCUUAUGUCACCCGUCACCUUAUGUCACCCAUCAGCAAGGUCACCUUACCCAGGCUCUGGUGGUUCCUGCAAGCUGCUGGGCUCAGGACCCCAGGAUGCAGGUGCCUCUUGGCCUUUCUGAGCCCCUCAGUAGUCCUCGGGUUGGGCUGAUUCCCUGUACCCACUGCCCAUCCUAGCAUGCCCAGGGCCGUUCUAGGGAGGAUAUCCCCAGGGCAGGAAGAAUAGUUAGGUGCCCAUCAGCAGGGAAAGGAGGGUAUCAGAGGACAAGGGGCUCUUUCCCAGCCGUGUACAGCUGACCAGUGGCCGUGGCCGGCACUUCUAUCCACAGUCAUCGGCUGGAGCAAGAGUGUGCCCCAAGCGUCACAGGAGCAUGGCAGAGGGGCCGAGUGUGCAGACAAGCCUCGGUAGAGAUGGGCAAGAGGGACCAUGAGUCACCCCAGGGCCAGAAGCAGCAGGAAGCUACUGUCCUGGGCCUGGCAGGGCAGACAGGAGGAACAGUGACCAGAGCUGGCUGGGGGAGCUGGCCCAUAGAACCUGGGGCCCCUCCAGAGGGACACGGCACCUCCAACCCAGCCCUGCAGUCAGGGUGCUGGAGAAGGAAACAGCUGGGCCAGGGCAGGGUGCAGAGGGGUCUGGGUAGCUGAGCCAGCUGGAGGUGCUGACUCCUCACCCCUCCUCCUGUGCAGGGGCUGCUGAAAGCCAUGUGGUCCCCAACUUCCUUGCACCUGAAGUUCCAAGCUGUGGAUUAAAUAUGGUCCUGUUGAGAAAGCCCAUGGCCAUCUGAGGUCCCCACUGGCCUCCAGACCCCUUCCCUAGAGAAAGCAACCCCGGGGCGGCUUCCUAGCAGCUGCUCUUGCCAUGGGCAGCACUCGCUGCUGAUCUGUCUGGGAUGCGCUGAUCAAGGCCUGUCUCCCCCAUGGACUUCAGGCCGCAGGAGGGAGGACAGGCCUCCAGGAAGUGGGCCCCUGCUCUGGCCUCCCUCUGUAAGGCAUGAGGCAUAAUCUGGGGCCUGAGGACUUCCCAGGCCUCAUUCUGGAGGUAGCUGAAAAACAGCCUCCUGGGGAGAAUGGCUCCACCCUGGGCAGGCUGUGUCCUCCCAAGGCAGAAAGAAGGACAAAGGGAGUGGGCGGGGCCAUUUGGGAGGCCCAGAUUGGAAUCUGCCCAGCCCUGAGCCUCACUGGCCCCCAGGAGCCCCGUCACUGUUGACUGAAGGCCCACAGAGCCUCCCUGCCUGCUGAAGUCAUAUAAAGCCUCCCUGAGGCCUGCUUCCCCCACCCGCCUGUGACCAUGAAGGCUGUCCUCCUUACCCUGCUGGCCAUUGGCUUGGCCCUCCAGCCAGGUGAGGCCUCAGCCAGCCAUGGGGCAGGACUGAAGGAAGGGGCAAGUGGAGGCCAGAAGGGUCCCAGGGAGCAAGCGGGAGAAGGAGGAGGGUCAGGUGGGAGGAAGGAGGCGGGUUUCUGCCCACUGGGCUUCUUGGCCCCUGGAGGGUGACUCUGGGCACAUCUGGGAAGCAAGGAUGACACCUUGCAGUGAAUUUUUCCCUACUGCCCGCAGGGUUGGAGGGGCAGAAGUCAAAGGGACAGGGACAGGGAUGCUGACCAACAGUCCUGGGAGGCACAGGGGCAAGACAUCUCAUGCUCAGAAGGGAAGGAAGGAGGCUGGAAUGAGGAGGUGCUGGGGUUGCACUGGGAAGACCCGAGGCCCCACCAGCCCUGACGUCCACUCCCUGGGAGAGCUUGUGUCCAGGUGGAGGAUCCAAGGGGAUGGUUCAGCCUGUGCUGUGGCUGGCCAAGUCACUGACCCUCUUAGACCUCAGUGUCCUCUUCUGGAAAGUGUGGGCAGGGGGCUGUCCCCCGAGGCCACCAGGAAAUUGAGCAGGCCAACACUCCAAGGGCACCCAGGGUAGGGCUGGGGAGGUGCUUGGACCUGUUUUCAAGGAGGUGCUGCGGAGCCAGCUGUAGCAGCUUUGAAGGGAGGAGACUUAAGCAGGACACCCUGGUAGCUGGGGUUACUGGACCCAGGGAGGGCAGGACCUGGCCCGGGGCCACUUGUGGUCACAUAGCACCAAGAGGCCUGAGAGGGGCUGAGACCAGGUGGGCCUAGGGGAUAAGAAGGGGUAGGCCUGAGGCCUGGUGGCCUAGGAAAGUCAGGGAACGGUCUCCCGACACCCCCACCCUUCCUCUCCAGGGCCCAGCUGGGCCCCUGCAAGACAGGGUUAGCCAGGCCACACUGGGGCCGGUCAUCUCUGCCCUUCACAGAGCAUGGCAUGGUAUGCAGCCAUGGGCUGCAACGUGGGCAUGGAGGGGAAGUCAUUCAUAGGCGCAGCAGGGAAAGUGGGUGCCAGUCCUCGGUGGACUGGGUACACCCGGGACCUCGCGAGGGGCCUGGGCUCAGGUCUGCACCCCCAGCAGUCUGGAAGGGCUCAUUCCUUUCUCCUUGCUGGUGGGGGAGAGAAAGUGUGGCAGGCCCAGGCUGGGAGGACAGCCUCUGACCUCGCUGCCCCGCCCCGCAGGUACCGCCCUCCAGUGUUACUCCUGCACGGCCCAGAUGAGCAACAGGGACUGCCACAACGUGGAGAACUGCACCCAAGGCCAGACCCAGUGCAAGACGGAGCGCAUCCGUGAGUGCCUUCGCCCGGCUCCCUCCCUGCCACUGGCUGACUGAGGAGCCUGGGCUUGGUCUCCACCACUGUUCAGCCUUCUGUCCUCUGCCCACCUGACCAUCUAUCCAUAAUCCCCACAUGCCCCACCCCUUCCAGCGCCCUCAUCACCCCACACAUCUACCCACCCCAUCCUGCACUCACCUACCCACUCAAUCUGUCUGGUGCUCAGCCCAAGGCCCAGCUGCCCUGGGUCCUUGGACAUGGACAAGACCAAGCCCCUGGUCUCCUGCUGCUGGCAGCCUUGCGACCAGCUUGGGGUGUGGCUGUGGAGCUUCAGUUAGGGACAGGACUGGCCUCCCCAGCCGUCACCAUGCCCCUCCAGGUGCAGUUGGGCUCGUGACCGUUAUCAGUAAGGGCUGCAGCUCGGACUGUGUGGAAGAUGCGGAGAACUACUACGUGGGCAAGAAGAACAUCACGUGCUGUUCCACGGAUCUGUGCAAUGCCAGUGGGGCCCACGGCCUGCAGCCAGCCACUGCGCUGGGGCUGCUCGCCACGCUUGGCAGCUUGCUGCUGUGGGGGCCCAGCCAGCUGUAGGCUCCAGGAGGGUGCACAGCCAAUGCCGUGUCCCUGACCUCGUGACCUGGCAGAGGUCUAACCCUCACCCUGCUCCCCACCUCCACAGCUCCCCCUGGGACUCCUGCCCAGUGCCUGCCUGCCCAGCAGGCUGGACUGCAGUGCCUUAGAACAGCCUGCAGCGGCUCCUCUGCAGGCCUCGGCUGCUGCUGUUGCCACAGCCCAUGUUUUGGCCACCUUUGCUCAGGUGCCUCCUCUAGGAAGCCUUCUCUGCCCUCUCCUCCAGGACUGAGCCAGGGCCCUCCAAGGCUGAGAUGAGAUGGGCUGGGUAGCAGUCGGGCUGGGAGGGUCACAAGGCCCUGGGAUCUAGAUGAGGCAGGCAGGGAGGGACGAGCCCCCCCGUUCAUGGACAACCUGGGAGCAGCCUGGCAUACAGUAUGCUCUUAAUAAACACCUGUUGGGCAAGCUGCAGAGAGCCUGUGUCCU